GGAGUCUGGGCCGUGUCUCAGUCCCAAUGUGGCCGUUCAUCCUCUCAGACCGGCUACUGAUCGUCGCCUUGGUGAGCCGUUACCCCACCAACUAGCUAAUCAGACGCAGGCCCAUCUCUAAGUGAUAGCUUGCAAGCAGAGGCCAUCUUUGGUAAGUCUCUCAUGCGAGUUACUUACAACAUUCGGUAUUAGCAGCCCUUUCGGGCUGUUGUCCCCAUCUUAGAGGCAGGUUGCCUACGCGUUACUCACCCGUUUGCCACUAGACUUUUCAAAAGCAAGCUUUCAAUCAGUCCCGUUCGACUUGCAUGUGUUAAGCACGCCGCCAGCGUUCGUCCUCGAGCCACUGAUCAAACUCU
rnacentral:rRNA from 1 species